UACGGGGGGGGUAAGCGUUGUUCGGAAUUACUGGGCGUAAAGGGCUCGUAGGCGGCCAACUAAGUCAUACGUGAAAUCCCUCAGCUUAACUGGGGAACUUGCGUGUGAUACUGGAUGGCUUGGAUUUGGGAGAGGGAUGCGGAAUUCCAGGUGUAGCGGUGAAAUGCGUAGAUAUCUGGAGGAACACCGGUGGCGAAGGCGGCAUCCUGGACCAAUAUUGACGCUGAGGAGCGAAAGCCAGGGGAGCAAACGGG
rnacentral:rRNA from 1 species